rnacentral:tmRNA from 1 species
GGGCUAGUACUGGUUUCGACGGGGCAUUUGCAGCUGGAGAAGCGAGCCGCAUGCGAUGCGUUAAAUGGCACAAUUAAAAUUAAACGCUGAAGAUAAUAAUUUAGCAUUCGCUGCCUAAUUUGGCAGCAGUCUGACUUAGCGCACCUACACGUUAAGACCCAGGCUUCGACUAUGUAGGAAACGACACAAGCUAAGCUUUGCGUUUGUGGGCGUAUCAUGAAGCUACUUAAGCCGUUAGGGUGUUAGUUCUCGCACGGUGGAGGGAAUGUCAAAGAACUGACUACACUCGUAGAAGUACAGGGAAUCUUGCUUCGGACAUGGGUUCGACUCCCAUCUAGUCCAUUG